GGCCGGAGUUCAGUCUUCCCGGGCCCACCAUGCUUCGCCUUUUGGCUACGCAUGGCGCAGCCGGGAACAGACGGUGACGCGGAAGUUGCCGAACCCUGGUUUGAGAUCGGGGCGAUCGAGCUGAUGGGGCUGUAGCUCAGCUGGGAGAGCAUCUGCUUUGCAAGCAGAGGGUCAGCGGUUCGAUCCCGCUCAGCUCCACCAUUGUUUUGUCCUGACGCUGUCGCGCCUUUGGCGCUGCGCUCCGGACGGGCCGCCGAACGAUCGGCGACAGGCCUCUGGCCUGUGUGGGUGGAUGUAGCGAAGUUUGUCUUCUGAAGAAAUAAAGGUUUUGCAUCGGCUUUAAGCCUGAUGCCUGUUCUGCAUACAUUGUGAAGAGAAGAUUGAUCUGGAGGCUUCCAGGUGUCGGGUUUUGCCCGGCGUCCGAGCCCAGUUCUGAUGAUCCCCUGGAUGGCCUAGCCGGCCGGAUAUGGGUGAAGGACUGGAGGUAGGUAGGAAGCUUGUCGCUCUGGGUCGUCAGCGUAAACUGCGCAAGCAGUUUAUCGCGUGUUGUUGACAUUCUUUGAAUGUCUCUGACGGACGACUUGAUUGACGUUGCCUGACCGCGCGUCACCGGAUUUAAUCUCGAGAAGCUGGUCUUAAGAUAGACUGCAAGCGGGCUGCUCGGCGUAGCUCCAAUAUCAGCGCAUAAACCUUACGGGUUUUGCGCGUAAGCAGAUCUAUCGAACACGUCGAUGGCAUUGUUGAAGCGCGAUUGUAAAAGGUAAUCGCGCAGGCUUGGUUCGGCACACUGCAAAGUGUCCGGAUAGUCAGAUUUGGAACCCCUUCGAGCGCAAGCGAGGAGGAUAGGAAUUCCAAAUCCAAGCAAAUGAUGAGCAUUGGCAAUGAGAACGAUCAAGUGUCGUAAGGGCAUUUAGUGGAUGCCUAG
rnacentral:tRNA from 1 species